rnacentral:misc_RNA from 1 species
ACACGGGCAAGUGGACCUUUGAGCAAGCGGUGAAUUACUUCAUGGAAGCAGGCGGACUCGAUCGUGAAGCGGCGAGGGGAGAAGCCGCCGGCGCGGCCGCAAAUCCGACUCAGAAGAUCACUUACAUGGUAGGCAAAUGGCAGAUUAUGCGACUGCUGGGAAGAUAUCGAGACAAGCAAGGCGCAAACUUCCGUCUCGGACAAUUCCACGACGACUUACUUAAGAAUGGAAGUCUGCCGCUUUCGAUUGUUGAGUGGAUUCUGCUGGACACCCAGCCGCAAUAGCCUGUGCGAGUGGCCCUCUGUGGCCACCCGUCUUUGCAAAACGGGUGGGAGACGAUGUUACUGGGGCGGCCACGGAGGUGGGCCGCCCCUACAAUUUCAUGCGCGCAGGAAAUCCAAAACCAACGGCACUACGGCUUCUGGAGUUUCUUCCUGAGGAAUGUGACCCGAUCGUUCGAUUAUUACUAAUCGCGAAUCCGGAAGCGCAGCAUCGAGAAGCUCACCAAUCAUUACGGGAAUGAUCUUGUCCUGGCGCCCCCAGAUGAUGAGUGUCGGCACGAUAAUCUUCGGAUAUUUCCUAAUUAAGUCAUCGAUAUCCUGAGGAAUGAUCUGUUUCGCCGUUUCCAGUAAUGCGUGGCGCCCGCCGCGGUCCGCAAUCGGUCGCGCGUAGGCCGCGAUUUGCUCGCUCGUGAUCUUCCCAUCGUCAUGAUACGAAUCCCUAAGUACCGUCAGGGCCGCAAGCUUGGGUGGCAAAAGGUGAAUCAUCAGCCAGCCGAGAAUCGGAGUUCGCAGCAUCUUGAGAUGCGUGGGCAGAUGCAGAUUGUAACCACCACUGUCGAUCAGUAUUGGCCGUUUCAACCUUCC